GCUGUACAUCACCGGCGCAUACCCCUGAAACACACACAGUUACGCAAGCUUCCACACACACACACACACUAACUACACUCUGAGAUGAGAAGGAUCAAAACCAGAGUGGAAUAUACCAUCGGCGCCACAGGGUACUGGUUAGGUGGCCCACUCUACUGUUAGUGGUCAGAGGGGACACAGGGUACUGGUUAGGUGGCCCACUACUGUUAGUGGUCAGAGGAGAAACAGGGUACUGGUUAGGUGGCCCACUCUACUGUUAGUGGUCAGAGGAGACACAGGGUACUGGUUAGGUGGCCCACUCUACUGUUAGUGGUCAGAGGAGACACGGGGUACUGGUUAGGUGGCCCACUCUACUGUUAGUGGUCAGAGGAGACACAGGGUACUGGUUAGGUGGCCCACUCUACUGUUAGUGGUCAGAGGAGACACAGGGUACUGGUUAGGUGGCCCACUCUACUGUUAGUGGUCAGAGGAGAAACAGGGUACUGGUUAGGUGGCCCACUCUACUGUUAGUGGUCAGAGGAGAAACAGGGUACUGGUUAGGUGGCCCACUCUCCUGUUAGUGGUCAGAGGAGAAACAGGGUACUGGUUAGGUGGCCCACUCUACUGUUAGUGGUCAGAGGAGAAACAGGGUACUGGUUAGGUGGCCCACUACUGUUAGUGGUCAGAGGAGAGGCACAGUUAGAUUGUAGAACAGAGGGAAGAGGAGUAGGGGCUGAUUUGUAGAGUUGUGUAGAAUAGGGUUGACUAGCAUAGAGUGGAAUAGAACAGAGUACACUCUUAGAAAAAAAAUGUACUAUGUAGAACCUUGAAGGGUUCUUUGACUGUACCCAUAGGAUAAUCCUUUUUGGUUCCAGGUAGAACCCUUCCUACAGAGGGUUAUACAUGGAAUGCAAAAGGGUUCUACCCGAAACCAAAAAGGGCUCUUGUAUGGGGACAGCCGAAGAACCCUUUUGGAACCCCUUUUUUCGAAGAUUGUAGAGUAUA